rnacentral:rRNA from 1 species
GACAGAGGAGGCAAGCGUUGUCCGGACUUACUGGGCGUAAAGCGUCCGCAGGUGGUCGUGCAAGUGCCGUGUGAAAGCGCUCGGCUUAACUGAGCGAGCCAUGGCAGACUGCUCGACUCGAGACCGGGAGAGGUCGGUGGAAUUGCCGGUGUAGUGGUGAAAUGCGUAGAGAUCGGCAGGAACACCCAAGGGGAAGCCAGCUGACUGGCCCGGUACUGACACUCAUGCCACGAAAGCGUGGGGAGCAAACAGG